rnacentral:tRNA from 1 species
GUCGCCUUGCCCGAGCGGUCUAAGGGGAUGGUCUGCAAAACCGUCUGUCAUUGGUUCAAAUCCAAUAGGCGACU